GGGGAAUUUUGGACAAUGGGCGAAAGCCUGAUCCAGCAAUGCCGCGUGUGUGAAGAAGGCCUUCGGGUUGUAAAGCACUUUUGUCCGGAAAGAAAUCCUUGGCUCUAAUACAGUCGGGGGAUGACGGUACCGGAAGAAUAAGCACCGGCUAACUACGUG
rnacentral:rRNA from 1 species